GAUGAACGCUGGCGGCGUGCCUAAUACAUGCGAGUCGAGCGAACAGACGAGGAGCUUGCUCCUCUGACGUUAGCGGCGGACGGGUGAGUAACACGUGGAUAACCUACCUAUAAGACUGGGAUAACUUCGGGAAACCGGAGCUAAUACCGGAUAAUAUAUUGAACCGCAUGGUUCAAUAGUGAAAGACGGUUUUGCUGUCACUUAUAGAUGGAUCCGCGCCGCAUUAGCUAGUUGGUAAGGUAACGGCUUACCAAGGCAACGAUGCGUAGCCGACCUGAGAGGGUGAUCGGCCACACUGGAACUGAGACACGGUCCAGACUCCUACGGGAGGCAGCAGUAGGGAAUCUUCCGCAAUGGGCGAAAGCCUGACGGAGCAACGCCGCGUGAGUGAGGAAGGUCUUCGGAUCGUAAAACUCUGUUAUUAGGGAAGAACAAAUGUGUAAGUAACUAUGCACGUCUUGACGGUACCUAAUCAGAAAGCCACGGCUAACUACGG
rnacentral:rRNA from 1 species